AUUUUUUUAAAGGGGUGGCUUUUAAUAAGCCUGAGAAUAAACCCAUUGAACCUGAUUUGGGUAAUGCCAACGAAGGAAUUAAGAAAGUCAAGGCG
rnacentral:ncRNA from 2 species